CAAAAGGUGGAUUUCAUUUUUGCAGAGCAUUCUGAAUGCAAGGACAACAAACCUUCAUCCAGGUCAUUGAGCCGUUGGCGUUUUGCAAAUGCAAACUUGACUGUGUCACAUAAUUUUGUCAUCUAUUGAGCAUUCAUCAGUGGCAUGCCAGCAUCAAUAAUUAAUUCUCCAUUGGACAACUACUCCUGAGAUGUAACUGUUUACAUCUUUGAGGCACAAAAAUCAAAAUGUUUCAUUUGCAGCAUGGAGCGUCAUUGUGGUGGACAUUCAUUCUGGCCACUGGCAAAGUUGCUCUGGGAGGAUGCUUAGCUUACAAUACAACAAUCCAAUGUAGAAUUUAUCUUUUAUUCCAGAACAGUCCUUUUGGCAUCAUGUGAGGCAAUAACUUUCCUCUGGUCUUCUGAGGUCCAGUCCUGGAACUUCCUGCAGUCUCCACUGUGGUGCAGCAAAAUGAGUCUAGUUUUGGCUCUGAAUUCAUUUGGCCAAAUGCUGGUUUGAAAUCAUAAUUUCAAAUCAUAAAAACUGAAGCAAGAAAGUUGUAAAAACACAAAUUUCUGUUAGCUGGGCCGAAAACAGAAUAGUUGUCUGAUAUCAAAAUUAGAUUGUGAUUUUUCUGAGACUUCAAGAAAAUGCGCGCCUUGCAGCGGGAGGAAAGCAGGUGGCUCAGAUGGUGCAGAUGUUGGUGAACUGCCGCCGCAGACCAUCAGUGUGGUUCUUCCUGCAGCCUCUGAGUUGUAAGAUGUCUCAUCAGUGUCCGUCUUCCUGACUGCCAGUCGGUGUUUACCUUCAGGAUGUCCAGAGACCUUCACCUUUCUGGAGCAGGAAUCAGAUGAGCUCAAUGUGCUGAUGAAACAUUUCUAAUU